UGUCGGCGAUGGUGACACGCGAUGAGUCGAGACCUGUCAAACUGGACGCCCUUGACUUCAUUCUACCCGCGCUUGAAAACAAUUCACUUGUCUUUCUAAAUCGGUGAAAAGAAGAGGUCGUGAUUCACCGAGCGCCAUUUGCAAUCUAAAGUCGAGUACAUUGUGAGAACAACAAUCUGGUUUUAUCGUUUUAUAGAUAGUUUCGAAGUUGAGAAUAUUAGGAUGGAUUCGGGGCGUGACUUUGAAGAGGAGGACCCAGAGGCCGACACAAAAUUAGAGGAACCCCGGCGAGCCGUAUCAGUUGAAGGUGCUGGGAGACAUAAUAUCAUGGAAGUAGACCCCGAUGCGGACACGAAAGUUAAUGUAGAUGUAGCGAAUAAGGAUAAUGCGGGAUGUGACUACGAAAAAAGGGCAAAACCGCGAAAUGAUUUUUCUUCGAGAGAUGUCUCGGUUAAGUUAGGUGUUCCCAGCAGUGGAUUAGAAAAGGACAAUUCCGUGGCGGAUAGUGGUAUUGUCGUCGAAGAGAAUCCGGAGGCUGAAACAUACGUUCAACUGGGUGGCGGGACGGACGUGCACAAGGUGGUUUUCAGCUACUCGCCUCUCACGCCAAAACCAUGGAAAGAAUUCUACCCGAAGGAUAAAGUGAUAGGUGACGGGGUAAUGGUGUUUGGCAGACUUGCACCUUCAGGGGGUGUCCAGGUGAAACUUAAUGACGCGACGAUUUCACAAAGACAAUUUUCAUUGACACUUGUCCACAAACCGGACCAGUGGUACUUCGUUUUUAAAAACCUGAGCAGGCUUAAGAAGGUUUUCCUAAAUGAAGAAACUUUGGGACUGGAUGAAAGCAGACGACUUCCCCAGGUAUCACGAUUGCGUAUUCGUGAUCUUGAUUCUAAGUACGGUGAAGGGCAAAGCAUGGACUUUUUGUUGUGCGUGGAGACGUCAAAUAGAUCGAGAAGUUACAUAUUCGAGGUAACAUUUAAAUCUGACUCGAACUUAGACGUCGCAAUGAAUACACCAGGUUCACAGCUGAAUGCGCCAGUGCAGUGUUCCGACUCACGCAAUGUGUCAACAGUGACACCCAGAAGGUGUCAUGAUGAUGAUGCCUUCCAACAAUGAGCAUUGUCUCUCUGUCAUGAAGUGUACUGUAAAGUUUAUCAAAUCCGUCGCGACUGUCAUGUUUUGAUGAUAUCGCUCAUAAGGUUCCAUCAGCUCAGUGGAGAGUCGCGACGGCGCCUUGCUGAGUUUAUUGUAGAGAACGACGCGUCGUAGGAGUGUUAAAGUGUCGUUCAUUUGCUUCGCAAUCCAAAGAUUUAAUCCAGAGUCUCAUAAGACGCAUUAGAAGAACUGUUGAGGUGAUUCACUCUAUGAAUGUAUCAAAAUUGUUUAAGGAUAUGCUUUUGCUCUCUGUUAAAACAUGUAAAAAUGGAAUAAAUUUUAUGCCACUUUC